UCUAAUAUGGCAGAAAAAUGCAUUGGUCUUAAACUCCAUUAAUAAAGAUUACUUCUUUUUUUAGAA
rnacentral:tRNA from 1 species